GCCAGGGCCAUGGUGUCGGGGAGGCACGGGACCACGCGGAGGGCAGCAAAGCGGCUCCGGCGCUCCUCCGUCCUUCCUCGCCGCCGACGUCGGCCCGCCGCCCCUUCUUUUCCUUUGCCUUCCCCACCGCGCCGCGCCCGGAGACCCCGCCCAGCACCCAGCGGCUCGGCUGCUCCCGGCGCCCCCCGAGAGCUACGGGGAUGAGAGCCGGCGCCGGCGCCCGGGUGUUACAGCCGGCGUUCUCUACGUCAGCCACCGCUCUGAAGAGAGAAAGAAGGCGGUGUCCUGCGGAGAGAGCCGCUCCCUCCACUGCCCGCAGGGAGCGCGUCGCCUCAGCCGCUCGAAAGCAGGAAAUGGGCGGCAAAAGCGCAGUCAGACACCAACUGGUUCUGGACUGCCCCCGAGAGGCAGCGAGCAGCGCUCCCGCGCUUCGCCCGCUAGGAGCUGCCGCCACGUCCCGAGCUGCGCCGCUCGCGCCCCUCCCUGCUCCGAGCCCCCGGUGGGGGCUGGGCUGCGGCCGAGUCCGGCACCCGCGCCCCCACCCGCGCCGCGCUGUCGAACCCGCCGCCGGCCCGCUCUCGGCGCCGAUAAUCGCCGGGGUGCAUCCAGCAGAGGCUGCCGCCGGCUCCGCCAAACAGCAGCCAAGGCAUAGCCGGGAAGUCCCCAGGCCACCCGUUCCCCAGCACCCUUCGGGGAAUUCCCGUUCAGCGCUACAGGAGGCGAAAACGGAACAAACGAAAACCCCUUAACAGUGAAACCGGGCCGGGCGAUGGCCCGGGUGGCGACAGCGACGACUCGACGCGUGCGGACACAAGACCCGUCUCGCGCUCCGCUGCUCCUGUGCGUCCGGACGAACCUUAGAGAUCACUUAAGGAAGCUCGCGCGCUACUCCUCACCACGUGACCGCCCCACCAGGCCGCCCCCCGCGCCGCCAUCUUACAUCCGGGAGAGAGGCGGCGUCCCCUUUCCCCGCCUUGGCAGGCUUCGACGUGCCACCAGAAAUCAGCCCUGAAAGAGGGGACCCCGAUUGCACGUCACCGGAGUGCUGAGGCAGCGGGUGAUGCCCUCCAUCGGCUCAGCGGGUGAAAGUGGAGUACCAAACUUUUUUCGGCCUUUGCCCGCAAAGAAGAUGGCGGCGCAUACCGCCGCCUAAGCGGACACGUUGUACCCUGGCCGUGGUUUGAAGUUUCCGGCACCUCCUUUCCCAACCAGCAAGGACACAACCAUACGAGCCCCACCCACGCGGGGUGGCCGCCGUGCUACAUUCCGCAGAAAACAGGCGGGAAAGCUGCGGCACAGCUCGCUUUAAACGCAAGCUUUUGGGACUUCUGGUUUUGGCUUUUCCUUUUUAAGCCAAGUUAGGGAGAAGGCUGGCUGCCAUGGAGCCACUUCUGCUUUUGGCCCAGACAACUUACGGGAUUUUUUUUUUCCUCCCAUUUAGAGAUUUUUUUGUAGGAGGUUAACAAAUUAUUUUAAAGAAGUUAGGGCUUGUCAGAUAAAAUACAGGACGCUCAGUUAAAUUGGAAUUUCAAAUAACCAGUGUUUUGGCAUAUGUGUGUUACAUAUAUUUUUAAAAUUGUUUAUCUGAUAUUCCAAUUUAACUGCACAUUCUCAAUUUUUAAUGACUAUAUCUGGCAACCCUAUCAGCCUUACCCCUGAAAAUCCAGACUGCUUAUGACAAAAGUAAGGAAUGGAGGGAAAUGAAAAGCAUGUUUACCUACAACUUAGAAUUGUCUUUGCCCAGACUUUGAUCCUUCAUGGAGGCCAGAGGGCCGUGGUCUAGAACAAAAUUACAAAAUUUGGCAGCAACUCAUAAAGAUAUCCUUGUAUAAUUCCCUUUCUGGCAAAGUAAGAUUUUUUUUUUUUUUUUUUUCUGAAGCUAUCACGAUGUAAUUUUGGACAACAGAUCCUCUUGGCCAAGAGUUUAAUUGCAAAUUAAAAAUUAAAUAACUGGC
rnacentral:lncRNA from 1 species